rnacentral:tRNA from 1 species
GCCCCAGUAGCUCAGCGGAUAGAGCAGCCGCCUUCUAAGCGGAAGGUCGCAGGUUCGAUUCCUGCCUGGGGUACCA